GGGAACAGAGAUGGCGCAAUGGUGAGAGCGCUCGCCUCCCACCAUGCAAUGUGGCCCGGGUUCUCGAAUCCCCGGCGGACCCG